rnacentral:rRNA from 1 species
GAUGAACGCUAGCGAUAGGCUUAACACAUGCAAGUCGAGGGGCAGCAUUAUCUUAGCUUGCUAAGAUAGAUGGCGACCGGCGCACGGGUGAGUAACACGUAUCCAACCUUCCGGUUACUCGGGGAUAGGCUUUCGAAAGAAAGAUUAAUACCCGAUGUUGCGUAUCUUUCUCCUGAAAGAUACGCCAAAGGAUUCCGGUAACCGAUGGGGAUGCGUUCCAUUAGGCAGUUGGCGGGGUAACGGCCCACCAAACCUUCGAUGGAUAGGGGUUCUGAGAGGAAGGUCCCCCACAUUGGAACUGAGACACGGUCCAA